ACUCUCUCAGGGUCACACCUGGAGAGUUUCCAGUAUUCUACCAGUCUCGACUAUAGGAGGGAGAGUCAAGCAGAGGCACAGUCAUUCCGUUUCUAGCUUGGCCAGUGGCUAGCAAGUGGAAGGCAAUCUGUUACAAGU